AUGUACUCAGACAGCACACGGACGGGACACUAUGGACUCAUUCAUCAAAACAAUAACGACUGCUGCUACUGCCGCCGCGGUGUCCAUUACGGACCCACGUUGUUCCAGGGAGUACCACCAGCCAUACGCCCAGACUAUCCAGACCACCCACCAUCACUGGACCUCAGGGAAGACUUCCAGCUUCCUCCUUUCCCUGUGGAGACUGAGGAUAUAGAGCCUGGACUAGAGAAGGGUGAGAGAAGUGGAGGAGGAAGAGGUGGUGGAAGAGAAGAUGGAGGAAGAGGUGGAGGAGGAAGAGGUGGAGGAGGCAGAAGAGAAGGUGAAGGCAGAGGAGGAGGAAGAGGCAGACAAGAAAGUGAAGGCAGAGGAGAAGGAGGAGGCAGACGAGAAGGUGAAGGUAGAGGGGGAGGAGGAAGACGAGGCAGAAGAGAAGGUGAAGGCAGAGGAGGAGGAGGAGGAGGAGUAGGAGGCAGACGAGAAGGUGAAGGUGGAGGAGGAGGAGUAGGAGGCAGACGAGAAGGUGAAGGCAGAGGAGGAGGAGGAGGAGGAGGCAGACGAGAAGGUGAAGGCAGAGGAGGAGGAGGAGGCAGACGAGAAGGUGAAGGCAGAGGAGGAGGUGAAGGCAGAGGAGGAGGUGGAAGAGGAGGCAGAGGAGGAGGUGGAGGAGGCGGCAUUGAAGCUGAAGCUGGAGGUGGUUACACUCACAGGGCCCCACAGAGGAGGCCAGUGUUCACAGAGCAGGGUCAGUAUGUCCAACCUCAGCCAGACCUAUUUAGCCCUAGCCAAACCUAUGACUACAACCCUGCCCAGUGGAGCUGGCCAGUGGAGCCCUCAGGCCCUAGUCUGAGACACUAUUCCCCUGUGAAAGAACAAUGUGGCUGUGUGGGACAGGGUGGAGGUGACGCUGUUGGGACGGCGACCAGGACACACCUCUUUAACAGCAGCAGACAUGCGUCAGCCUUGUCACUCCCGGCGGACCCAGACCCGGCACACAGACAGACAGACAGACAGAUUAGCUACAACUACAAUCCAGAGGGGCACAGGCAGGCUAGUUAUGGAGCGGAAGAGCAGAUCUGGGAUCAGUCAAAACACAGACAGGCCAGCUGCAGUUACAGUACUGAAGACAAACCGAAACACAGGCAGGCUAGUUAUGGAGUGGAAGAACAGAUCUGGGGUCAAUCAAAACACAGACAGGCCAGCUGCAGCUACAGUUUGAGGCUAGAAAGACAGGCUAGCUACGGUCCACAGGAACUACACAGACAGGCUAGCUACGGUCCAGAAGAACAGAUCUGGGAUCAGUCGAAACACAGACAGGCUAGCUACAGUUACAGUCCAGAAGACAAGCCGAUACACGGACAGACUAGCUACGGUCCAGAAGAACAGAUCUGUGAUCAGUCGAAUCACAGACAGGCUAGUUACAGUCCAGAAGACAAACCGAUACACGGACAGACUAGCUACUGUCCAGAAGAACAGAUCUGGGAUCAGUCGAAACACAGACAGGCUAGCUACAGUUACAGUCCAGAAAGGCAGGACUGGAGAUUUACUGCUAGUGGUAAACACGAUCAUUUGGACAGGUGUGUACCACUGGAACAAGGAGAUUUACACCCCCACAUGCCAAAUGAAUGCUGUGGCAUUGGUGGUCCCAGCCCCAGGCCUGUGUCCUCUCGGGGCAGGGGAGAUAGAGCUAACCACCAGGAGAGGACUACUAGAUUAAAGGCUGGAGGAGUUGGAGGUGGGAUAAGAGAGGACGGCUGUAAUGGACGACAUGUCCCUGCUGGCUCUAGCUCUGAGGGUUUGGUCAGGAAGAAGCAGAGUUUGGUCAGGAAGAAGCAGAGUUUGGUCCGGAAGAACCAGAGUAUGGUCCAGGAGAAGGAGGUUGGGGUCCAUGAGAACCACGGUUCGACCCAGGAGAACCAGGGUUCGAUCCGGGAGAAGGAGGAUUCAGUCCGGGCGAAGAAGGGUUCGGUCCGGGAAAACGAGGGUUCGAUCCGGGAGAAGGAGGGUUCAGUCCGGACGAAGGAGGGUUCUGUCUGUGAGCAGAUCAGACAGGUGGUGUCAGACCUGGAGGGGGUCCUGGGUGGUCUCAAACAGGUCCACGUGGAGAUGAAGGAGUUGCAUAGAUUGAAAGCGAUUCACAUCGACUGUUUGGCUAAAACCUGCUGCUGGAUUUGAUAGAGACACAAGAAGCACAGUGGUCCAACAGAUAGAUCGUCUGACAGCUAACAUUGACCUGGAAGAGGAAGAGGGAUCAUGUAACAAGUCCCCUAGUAGUGGUGAUGGUCACCCCAACCCCAGAGACUGUAGAGGUGGUGACGGUCUCCCCAACCCCAGAGACUGUAGAGGUGGUGACGGUCUCCCCAACCCCAGAGACUGUAGAGGUGGUGACGGUCUCCCCAACCCCAGAGACUGUAGAGGUGGUGACGGUCUCCCCAACCCCAGAGACUGUAAAGGAGUCCUGAUGUUCAACCAGGGAGACCAGAGACCACAGUACAGAGACAUGGACCGUACAGUCAACCAGAAGACUACUAGGGUCCAGGUGCACACCCACUGGACUGGUACAGGGGACCUGGUCCACAACCAUAAGACUCCUGGGGACCAUGGACCACAGUGCAGAGACACGGAUCAUACUGUCAUCAUACAUGACCCUCCUCCCGACCCCAGAGACGUCUCUGGGGUCCACAGCCAAAAGACUAAUGGAGAUCAGGUAGUCUCACUACUUUACAGACACCCUGACCAUACUGUCACCAUACGAACUAACUCCUCGUCCCCUGUCCUCACCGCAUCUGUCAUCAAGACCAACCGGGUUGGGAUCACAGUCUUGAGCCCCAUGGGCCCCCUGAGCCCCUCCAAAGACCCCAAACAGGACAGACGGGGGCUCAACGGACACCCUCCUCUACUCGGUCCAGGUAGAGAACUGAACCAUGUGGCCCCCCAUACCCCCCUAGAGCUAGAAAUGACCCCCUCCCUACCCCUACCCUUAUGGUCUCAACUGUCUGACCCCACAGCCAUGGUCGGAUACAGUGUCCCCACUCUUAGGAACCAGAAACCUCCUCUGUACCCCCGCCACAACGAAUGGGUGGAGAGGCUCAGUAAGAGUCCGGCUCAACCACCCUACCCUGCCUACCCAGCCCACCCAGCACUGCCGGUCCUGCCCCACCUGGCUCAGCCACCCUACCCUACCCACCCUAACCACCCAACCCACCCUGCCCUGCCUCCCAGUGAUCUGAAGACACCCCCCUACCCGGGGAAAGGCUGCAGCAUGGUAUGAGGGGACAGGGGACAGCCUCACUGCCAUGGGGGCGGGAACAUAUAGGACAAGGACAGACCUACACUGAUAAGUAGUCUGAGAAGGAAAGCUUGCG
rnacentral:lncRNA from 8 species